rnacentral:rRNA from 1 species
CCUACGGGGGGCUGCAGUGGGGAAUAUUGCACAAUGGGCGCAAGCCUGAUGCAGCGACGCCGCGUGGGGGAUGACGGCCUUCGGGUUGUAAACUCCUUUCGCCAGGGACGAAGCGCAAGUGACGGUACCUGGAGAAGAAGCACCGGCCAACUACGUGCCAGCAGCCGCGGUAAUACGUAGGGUGCGAGCGUUGUCCGGAAUUACUGGGCGUAAAGAGCUCGUAGGCGGUUUGUCGCGUCGUCUGUGAAAUCCUGCAACUGAAGUGUAGGCGUACAGGCGAUACGGGCAGACUUGAGUACUACAGGGGAGACUGGAAUUCCUGGUGUAGCGGUGAAAUGCGCAGAUAUCAGGAGGAACACCGGUGGCGAAGGCGGGUCUCUGGGUAGUAACUGACGCUGAGGAGCGAAAGCGUGGGGAGCGAACAGGAUUAGAUACCCUUGUAGUC